ACAGUUCUCUAUAGUGGAGUGUCUAAUGGCGUCAACCCAAAGGUUAUUGAGCGGAAUUUCACUCCAUUUAGUGCCAUGUUACUCGCAUCAGUAGUUUUAGAGUAAAUUAGGAAGAGAUACUGACAUUUCUACUACCAAGCUUCUGAAGUGGAGCAAUCAAGAUGAUGAAAAGGAGAGAACCCAAAAUGGAGCCCUGAGGAACACCUGACACGGUGCCCAAAUCCAUGAAUUUAGAAAAAUGGAAGAGGGGAGCAAAAUGGUAUCUCGUAUUGAAUACAGCAAGACCGGGGCUGUUUGAAGAAAGCUCUCAUAUUGAUGGUUCUGAGAGCGAGAGAGUCAAGUGAGAACUCAACCUUUUUGGACAAUGACCAUUCUAUUGGUAUAGGUCAGAAACACAAUUCUUGUUGUCAAGGACCUUAUAACUGGAAAUUGUUGUUGAACAGAUAUCCCUCCUGAAAAUUAUCGGCCUGCUUCGUACGUCUGCUCAUCAUUCAGCCAAAUACCAUCUUCAUUUGAUGAUGAAGAUUCACGUAAUAUGUUACAACCUCAACUGUACAACUCUGCGAAUUGUAAAAGUUACCUCACUCCUGGAGUGCCCAACCUCAAUCAAAGUUUCAGUGUAGUUUACUUUCGCGUAUAUUGGCAAAUUUAAACAAACAUAAGUUUCUCUUUUAUUGCAUACGUAAGUAUUACUGCUGCUGAUUCAAUAAAUGAUAAAUUCUUUGCGUGUGACGGCUUUCUGUUGUACCAAUUUCUUUAUUAUCUCAGAUUUUACAUACAGAGUUUUUCCACUUGUAGAUGCCAAGAACAGAGUUCAACACUUAUGAUAACUAACUCGAAUUGAUGUCUUUCCAUCCUGAAAAUGUUGAAAUGUUGAGCUAUCCAAC